AGAUAAAACAGGUUGAAAAUAAUUGUUGUCAUGUUAUUAGCCUAUUCUGUUGAUAUUUACAAUAAAUUGUACGCUUACUAACUUUGUUCACGUUGAGGAAUGUUUGUAAUGGUGUGAGGUUAGAUGUCUAAAUAUUUUCAGACAGGCAAGCAAAGUGGGCGAACCUAUGGCCCCCACGCAGCAGCUUGCUAUGUGCUAAAGAGCUACUGUGUUGAGUAAAGUGGCCACAGCCCUGCCUGUUUAGUAGAUGCUUUUAUCUUGAGAGCGGGAUAUAGGCUGCUUAAGCUGCUGUUAGUCGAGGUGCAUGCGUCUCUCUCCCCCCUCCCCCCAUACAUUUACCGCUGGGUCCGGUGUCGGCCAAGUGCCAUGUACUGUGCAGGGUAUGGCAGGCCGUUUUAACAUUUAUUAGCUUGACUGAAUAUGUAUACCAGACAUCUCAAAUACGGAAUAAGAUUUUUGCACUUAAAAUAAUAACAGUUCAUCUACAUCAUCUUAUUUCAAGUGCAGAAUAGCUAAUAACCUUCUUUUAGGGGUAAGAAUACUCAUUCCAUUGGCAAAUAGUCUUAUUUAGCUGCUCAAAUCAAGGAAGAAUACACUGAUUUCAAGAAAGUUUUACUCACUUUUAGUUCCCUUUUUGCAGUGCUAAAGUCUUGACUUAAUGUGUAUUUCAGAUAUCUCCAACAGAAUUCUUGCUAUCUAAAGUGGAAACUUUAGAUAUCUUAAAUAUAAUUAUUUAUAGUAGAAAUUACAUCACUUUUCCCAUUUAUGUGUAGUGGGAUUUUACUUUCGGAUAUCUAAAAUAACUUUCUUCCUAUGUAAAAUAAACUUUCUGGAUGUCUGAAAACUAAUCCUGGAUCUCCAUAAUCCAUUUUUUACCGGUCAUAGUUUUUAUUUCAGAUAUCAAAAAUCAAUGAUCAAAAGUUUUGAAACCAAUAUGUAAGACAUCCAACUUUGUAAAUUCCGCUUUCUGUCCGUCAAUUUGCGUUGGUAGUAAUUGACAGAAUUGCAAGAAAAGGGCAUGAAACUGAGCGAGCCCUUAGCCAGGGAAUGUGUAGCGACAGAGAGCGACGUUCAAUAGAAAGUUGUGUAAGAAACCUUCACAGAAUUGAACAUUUAUUGUCUACAGAAACCUACAAUGAACAGUAAAGCAGUUUGACUGAGGUUGGAGUGCUAGCAAUAGCUCAUUUCCAUCGAACCGAGGAUCGUCGUUUCUUCAUAAGGCGGGUUAGUUCAGGGCGGAGUGGCAGACCAUCUAUUGUUACCAGAGAGCACAUAGACGUCCUUAUGAAGCAAGGACAUACAAUCAAAAAAAAGGCAAAAAUGAUGGGAUGUUCCUCGUCGUUUUUGAACAACAAAUCAAAGCUGGUGGACCUACACAUAAGAGGAAGACUGUCUGCCUUAGAUGACAAUCAGCUGCAAGAGCGUGUGAGCACAUUGCAGGACCAGUAUCCAAACUCUGGGAAUGAGAUGAUGAGGGUGCUGCUUCGUGCUCAAGAUGUGAUUGUCACACGGGCCAGGGUACGCUAAAUGUUGGGAAGGACAAACCUGACAUCUGCUGCAAGAAGGUGGAGUCGGACUGUUGCAAGGUGGGCUUACCAUAUGCCGUACC